ACACAGUCAUGGGACUCUCUGCUGAAAGACACAGAAAACCACAACAGUGAGAAGGCAGGCAGAAGAAGGGAGUCAGAUACUUGCAAGGACUCGUUUUUCAGACAAGACACCACCUGCUUUGAAUAAGUCAGAUCGACUGAGAUGUACAAGUUCCUCUCCAUGAAUCUGCCAUCCUUGUUGCUAGUGUUAUUGGCUUUCAUGUCAAGAAGGGCGAAAGGAGACUCCGUCAAUCAAACAAUCCAUCCGGUUACAGAGAAAGAAGGGCAGAAUGUCCGGUUACAGUGCAAAUAUGAAACUGCCGGCUCCCCAUACCUUUUCUGGUAUCAACAACAUCCAUACAGCAGCCCUCAGCUCUUGCUGGCAAGUUAUGACUCUGAAGGACACAGCCAGAAGUUUUCAGCACACCUUGACAAAGUGGAGAAGUCUUUUCAUUUGAUUAAGGGUUCUGUUGAGCUGAGAGACUCAGCUGUCUACUUCUGUGCCUUGAGUCACACAGUGAGCACUGUAGCAAGGAGGAUGGGACAAAAACCCACCCAGUGGCAAAAUGCAGAGGCUCUCACCUUAUGA